rnacentral:rRNA from 1 species
UACGUAGGGUGCGAGCGUUGUUCGGAAUUACUGGGCGUAAAGGGCGCGUAGGCGGCGACCCAAGUCAGAUGUGAAAGUCCUGGGCUUAACCUGGGGGACUGCAUUUGAUACUGGGUUGCUUGAAUUCGGGAGAGGAUAGCGGAAUUCCCAGUGUAGAGGUGAAAUUCGUAGAUAUUGGGAAGAACACCGGUGGCGAAGGCGGCUAUCUGGACCGACAUUGACGCUGAGGCGCGAAAGCCAGGGGAGCAAACGGGG